AGCAGACGCUGCUCUGGGCGAAGGCUGCGGCGCGCGUGCGCGGGGCUGGGCCUUGGGUUCCGUUCUCCCCCAAGUUUCUCCAAGUCUGCACUUCGCCAAACUAUGGGUGUGUCCUGGGCCAGUGCAUGAAGCGAUGGAGUGGGGACAUCGAGCCGAUUUGGAAAAUUCCUGCCACCCACUCUCUGUGGAGAAACGAGGUCUAGACGCGGUGCAGGGGAGAGAACCACUUACUGAACGCCAUGUGUGUGCGCGGCGGGCGUGGUGCUGGGCGCCCUUCUUUUGAUUCUCACAACCCUUUGAAAGACCUCAAAAUGACCCCUCAUGGAAGAGGAAACUGAGGCCCUGUGAGUUCAUUUAAUUGGCCCACGGUCAUCCAAUCAGUUAAGGGCAAUUUCCAUGAAGGGUCCGUGCUUCAAAGUGGGUUUUUGGCCCUAAAACACACAAACGACACCUGUAGCACAUUUGGCAAGGCACUCUCAUAGGCAUUACUCAUUCCAUCCUUAUCAGAAACCUAUGAGGUAGUAGGUGCUGUGACUAUUUUCUUUUUGCAGAUGGGGAAACUGAGACUCAAGGAAGUUGUUCUGGAAUCCCACAGAGAAUAUCAGAGCUGAAAUUUUCUGUCCUAUUUUAGAGAGAUAAAAAGCUGAAAGCUCAAAGUCACGUUCUCCCAUCGCCAAUCUGAAGACCUAUGAGAGCUUCAUGCUCUAUGGGGUGAGUGGCCCAGGCCAUGCUAAAGACAAAGAAGUUCUCAUUAUUGGAGGUCUCCUUUGAGGGUUUCCAUUACAAAAUUACAAAGUGAUCAACCCUUCUAGAAGACAGUUGGGUUGUUCACUUAUUAAGGGCAGGGACAGAGUGCACUGCUCACAGUUGCUGAAUUUGGUGUUCGUUCGGUGAGCUUAUAGCUGAAUGAACUCAUUUUCAAUCCCAGAUUAUUCAAGGGGGAAGCUGCCUUUGUGUCAGGCAAUGGGUGAAGUAGCUUGUUUGUGACUUUUCCCAGAGGAGGGUUCUUGCAUUCACGCAGCAAACAUACUUAUCAUGCACUCUGCGGUGUUUAUAUAGCUGGGAAACAGAUGGGAACUUCAAAGGACAGGAAUGCUUUGCUUCUCUUGAAAAUUCUGCUCUGAGUAUUUGUCUUAGUCUUCUCGUGCUGGGUACUUAAACAACAGACAUUUAUUUCUCAUAAUUCUGGAUGCUGGAAGAACAAAAUCAAGGUGCAGGCUGAUUUGAUUCCUGUUGAGGCCCCACUUUCUGGCUUGCAAACAGCCAUCUUAUCACUGUACGCUCUUAGAGACUUCUCUCUAGAGUCUCUUCUUAUAAGGCAUGAAUCCCAUCGUGGGGUCUCCACCCUUAUGACCUCAUCUAAACCAAAUUACCUCCCAAAGGACCCACCUCCUAAUCAUCAUACUGGAGGUUAGGCAUUCAACCUAUGAACUGGGUGGAAGGGAGCACAAAAAUUCACUCAUAACAAUCCUAGAUGUCUGGAUGUUUGCCCAUCUCCAUGCAUGGUAGAAGCCAUGUAAUCCCCCUACCCUGUCAGGGUUUCCUGUGACACAAGAAGUAGAUCACCCAGGGAGGGGCACCGGAACGCAGUCAUAACUCCUCCCACCCCACCAACCCCUUGGUGCCUCAGCUGCUCUUCAGAAUCACAAAGGCCAGAAAACAGAAGCAGCUCUCCUCCUCUCCUAGGAGGCUUUGGAAACAGAGGGAGAUGCAAAUGGAAAUUCCCCAAAAGGGAAAUGCAAGGGAAGCAGAAAAAGCUGCAGCAAAGUGGGUCUGCCCCCGCUACCCUCAUUUCUUUCCAAGAAUCCCCUCCCUUGAGUGUGCCGUCAGAGAAUUGGAAUGUCACUGCCCUGUCCCCCAAGACUGUGUUGCUGCUCAGGCUGAUAAAGACAAAGGCUGCAAUUGGGCUCGCUUUGCCCGAAUGUAACCCUGCCUUGAAGCCUUCCUGAGGUGACCAGGGGAGAUCAUGUGCUGCCUGAUGCUGUCAAGAUGCCUGUGUGAGCUGCCUGCCUGCUGGUGUUGGCAGGAAGAAGGCUGCUUGGUAACUUACAUCAGCACCGCGUGGAGGGUUGAGAGCUUUGGCCAUGCCGGGCCCUGUGCUGACACUUGUAGUUGAAUUCCCUCCCAUAUGAUCCUCCACAGCCCUAUGCAGUAAGUGUGUGACCCCCGUUUUGGAGAGUAUGAAACUGAGGCUCUGAGGAGAGUUUCGCUCUUGUGGUCCAGGCUGGAGUGCAAUGGCGUGAUCUCAGCUCACUGCAACUUCUGCUUCCAGGGUUCAAGCGAUUCUCCUGCCUCAACCUCCUGAGUAGCUG
rnacentral:lncRNA from 1 species